AUAUUAUAUGAUUGAGAUAUGAUAUGUAAAUGAUCUCCACUUUAAAAUUAGUUGUUAAAGUAAAUCUCAUGGCAUGUUUAUCCAUUUGCUUUGCAUGUUAGAACAAAUCCUUAUGGCAUUUAGAUUUGUUUAGCCUUGAGAGAUGUGGCACCUUUCUUUGCUUCUUUCUGCUUUAUCAAACAGGGACCGUUUUCGAACAUCAGUCAAUGUCGUUGGUGACUCGUACGGGGCUGGAAUCGUGUACCACCUCUCCAAAGAUGAGCUUGACAUGUUUGAUGCACAGCAGAUAAGGCCAGAUGACUUUGAGAUGGCCAAGACACAAUCCUUUUUUGAAAAUAACACUAACCAUGGUGUAUAUGCAUCUCACAACUCCUAUCAGCCGGUCCAAAUAGAUGACUGCAAGUCUUUCAGCAUUCUGUAAGGAAUCCCGCUGCAGCUAAUUAUUAUCUGUCUUGUGGUGGGUACAUUUCUGUGAAUUUUGAUAUAAAUUAUGCUGUUAAAAUAUCAAACUACCUGGAUUCUCUGCUCCAAACCAUAAACAGUUAGCAGCGGUUAAUGCAUUUUGACUGUGCCUUUGGUCAAACAGUUAGUUGUCCCUGAUAAUUGCUUUCAGGUAACCUUGGCCUCAAAUGGCUCCCCUGCGGACUUCUCACUUGUUGAGGAGGAAUCAUGGAUACGCGAGUAACACAGCACACAGGUCCAGCUCCGCCUUAUCCUGAGUCCCGCAAGCUUAUUCUUUCUGGUGAAAACCAAAUGCUAAUUUUGUACAUAUAAACAGUCAGAAGUUACCAAAGAACGUUUCAUAUGCACAAGCAAUGACUUUUGUAUGACAAUCUCAGUACUUUUGAUACACAAAGGGAAGAGAACGUAGCUCGAAGUAGCAGGUGGUUCAGUCAGGCUGCAUAUUAUUUACACUCAAGGAUUACGAUAGUUAGAAUUCUAGGCCUUGGGUUUGAGGAUCAGUCUGACACCUGCUGCCUUAAGGCUACCGCAUAGAAGGAUCGCAGUGGUUUGUCCAGU